GUGGUCUAUGGUGAAUGCUAUCGCUGGAGUAAGUUGUUUACCUUCAAUUUGGGAAGCGUCAUGAUUGGACUACCCUGAUGGCGUCAUGAUCGCUGCUGAUUGCCUUUCAAAUAGGUUUUCAGCAUUCUGCUUACACCUUUGGCAUAGAGUCACAUAUUUCACAAUCCAACAUCAAUUGGUAGCAACAGCAGCCCUUCUCUCCAUCAUCCAGAAGGGUCUGAGAUCAGUGUUGGAGAUGAUGGUUCGGAACAACCCAUGGAAAGCUUAUCACUCAUUGAUGCUGUGAUGCCUGAUGUUGUUGCAAGUCGUCAACAGCAAACACAGAACAAUCAGAAACCACAAGUGGUAAAGACAGAACCACCAAAUUCCAAUGGAGAUGAACCCAUGCAUUCCUAUCGCUGGGAAGAGGAAACAGGAGUAGAGAUACCUGCCAGCAAAUCAACUGUACUACGUGGCCAUGAAUCUGAAGUUUUCAUCUGCGCCUGAACCCAACAACUGAUUUAUUGGCUUCUGGCUCUGGUGAUAGCACUAAGGACAUACGAAUGAAGUAAACGCUAUCAAGUGGGAUCCUCAGGGUAAUCUUUUGGCUUCCUGUUCUCACGAUAUUGUGUACAGUGUCGCAUUUUCUCCCGAUGGCAAAUACCUAGCAUCUGGUAGCUUUGACUAAGGUGUACACAGCUGGUCUACUCAGUCAGGGCAAUUGUUACACAGCUACAAAGGAACUAGAGGCAUUUUUGAAGUUUGCUGGAAUUCUCGGGGCGAUAAAGUUGGAGCAAAUGCUUUUGACGGAACCGGGUUGGUUACUAUUCACGUUCUUCAGCAAUCAGAUCCAUGCAGUGCUUGCUAAAUCCGUGCAGGUUUCAAGUGAAGCGAAAACGGACAAAUUACCAAACUGGAAUCAGCGCAAGCGACAGCUCUUAUGCAAGAAGUCGUACCUACCCUCACAAGUUUGUUUGAAGUGCAUAAUGGAAUUAUACAUCUCCAACAAAUAAGUCUUCUAAUCCUGUGGCAGGCGCACGGUUGAAAGCCGAAAAUUUCAAAAGGUUGAAAGGAGUACAAUCAUGGAAACAUUACUAGUUGGCCUUAGAACUACUCAUCGUCGCUCUCAUGAGACAUAUUGUAUCGGUCGAUUUCUUCGUCGUUAAUGUUUAAGGGGUGGUCGGGAACGACAGUGGGGAAUGAAGUUUUUAGUUCAAGAACUAUUUCUUCAAGUAGUUCCAUGACCACAGGGUAAAUAAGAUGGAGUUUUUCAACUGGGUCUCCUUUUUCCUAUGGGCCCUAAUUUUUUCGUGAGAAAGAAGCUUCUGCGUAAGCUUAACGUCCUCGCACAGCUGUUGAAGAACCAUUGUCAUCUUAUAAAACGGUAGAUUGGGCCCACCCGCCAACUGUUAAGAGUGUAAAAAUAAGUAUUUUAAAUAUUUAUAUCAAAUAUUUAUAUUUAUAAAUUUACCUUAUUCCAAUCAUUAUGAAGAACUGGGGAACUUGUGUUGAAAGCGGCAAAACUCGUCUGAUGGUACCAUCAAAGAGAGAAAAAGACAGGCCACCACGAAAUCAUAAUUAAGGGAAAUUUCAAAAUAUAAAACAAGCGGUUAACAAAUUGAA
rnacentral:lncRNA from 1 species